UACGGGGGGGGCAAGCGUUGUUCGGAAUUACUGGGCGUAAAGGGCUCGUAGGCGGCCAACUAAGUCGGAUGUGAAAUCCCCAGGCUUAACCUGGGAACUGCAUCCGAUACUGGAUGGCUUGAAUCCGGGAGAGGGAUGCGGAAUUCCAGGUGUAGCGGUGAAAUGCGUAGAUAUCAAGAGGAACACCUGCGGCGAAGGCGGGUUGCUGGGCUGACACGUGACGCUGAGGCGCGAAAGCUAGGGGAGCGAACAGG
rnacentral:rRNA from 1 species